UGUCUAUUUUUCAUUAGCAGAAACUGAUGAACUCUUCUGCUAGUGGGCAAUUAUUCUAAAAAAAGCUUUGCAAAAAAUAUGAAUAUUAAAAACUGAAUAAUAACAUUAAACUGAUAAUAACAAUUAUCUCUAAGGGAGGAAUUAAAGAGAACUUCAAUAUUCUAUAUAAAAAUUUUCUUCAUUGAUUUUUAUACACUAAACAUCUAUAACCUAAGCUAGAAAAC
rnacentral:lncRNA from 1 species